AGCAGCCUUUCCGCACGUGUGCGAGGAGUGUAACGUUGAGUUGGGGGGUGUUCGAGGUAAGGAAGUGAAAUCCGUGCCUUAACUGCUUGAUUUUAUGGAUCUUCACUAUCGCAUACUGAGUAGUGGAAAAGGCGGCCAUUCCUUUAAGCAUAUAUGCUGGUAUAAAUGCAGGGAGUGUUUGGAAAGUAGUGAAAGUGAAAUCCUGAGGCAGAUGGCGCUCUUCAGUUUAGCUUAUUGUUGGGACAUUAAGUGAUUGAGAGACUUUGAAAGUUAAAGAAUGUAUUGACAUUUCAGUGUCUAAUUCAAUAAAUUAUCCUCGGAUUUUCAAAUGUUUACCUUUGGAUAAUAUAACUCCAUUGUUGUGACUAUCUGGGUAUGUUAAGAAGAAAAUUCCAAUUUUAGCAUUUGUUAUACAGUCACUGUCCUUCGUUGCAUUACUUUUUUGAAUUAAUUCAAAUGGGGAUCGGUGUAAAACAAAUUUUUGCCACUAAAAUGUAUUUAAACAUUUAGGUAAAUUGAGUAAAUUUUUUACCAUGUGGGCAGAAGGGGAGAGGGGCUCAUGACAAUUUCAACUGUUGGACAGCCUUAAAUCUAGGAGGUGGCAUCAACUGACGUAUGAUGUAAAUGGGUUACCUACUGCAUUAGUUUUAAAUGUGAGUAAAGUGGGCAUCUUGCCCAUAACUGCAGGAAGAACAUGCCAGCUAUAGUACAAGAGGUGAACAAUCGGGAUACAGUGACUAUAGUAAUGAGAGGUACCCGUCUCCUGGAUAUGGGACACUGGGGGGGAAAUAGCACUGUUCAUUCAAUGUAAAUUCUUUCAAACAACUUUAAGAAAUCAUUUAGUGUUGUAACUUGAAAUUUGGUUUCAAAAUGAUUUUCUCCACAGUGGGUUCAAUAAGAAUUAAAUGUAUUAGUAAUAAUUAUUACCUUAAGUCAAAUGGAGGUUAUACUUUAAAAGAGAUUUUUUUACCAUAAACUGAAUAAAGAGAAUUUCAAAUCCA